rnacentral:snRNA from 1 species
GUGCUCACUUUGACAGCACAUAUACUAAAAUGUGAACGAUACAGAGAAGAUUAGCAUGGCCCAUGCGCAAGAAUGACAUGCAAAUUCAUGAAGCGUUCCAUGUUUUU